CUUGCACGCGUGCUUUGCACGUGGAACGCCCCUUGCACGUGGAUCGUCCUUGCACGAGGAUCCUCGCACGUGGAUCGUCCUUGCACAAGGAUCCUCGCACGUGGGUCGUCCUUGCACGAGGAUUGUCCUUGCACGUGGGUCGUCCUUGCACGCGCACUUCGCACGAGGAUCCUUGCGAAGGAUGAUCCUUGCACGUGGAUCAUCCUUGCAUGAGGAACGCCCCUUGCACGAGGGGUUUUGCACGCGGAUCCUUGCACGAGGAUUUGCUCACUCAUGUGCGGCUCCUUGCAUACGGAUUUGCUCGCCCACAUGUGGAUCCUUGCACAAGGAUGAUCCUUGCACAAGGAUUUGCUCGCUCACACGCAGAUCCUUGCACAAGGAUGAUCCUUGCACGAGGAUUUGCUCGCUCACGCGUGGAUCCUUGCACAAGGAUGAUCCUUGCACAAGGAUUUGCUCUCACAUGUGGAUCCGUGCACAAGGAUUUGCUCGCUCACGCGCAGAUCCUUGCACGAGGACGAUCUUUGCACAAGGAUUUGCUCACUCACACGUGGAUCCGUGCACGAGGAUGAUCCUUGCACAAGGAUUUGCUCGCUCACGCACGGCGCCUUGCAUGAGGACGAUCCUUGCACAAGGAUUUGCUCGCUCACGCGCGGCUCCUUGCACGCCCGCCCCCCUCGUGCGAGGCCCCCCCGGCGGCGGUGACGGAGCGUGGGCGUGGGCGGGCGUGCAAGGCGGGUCAGGCGGGCGUGCAAGGGGGGUUUUGCACGAGGGUCGCCCCCAGCGCCGAGCGGGGCACGAGGGCGGCGGGGAGGGGCCGGGCCUUGCACACUCACAGCUGCACGGGGAGCCAUUUGCACACUCACAGCUGCACGGGGAGCCAUUUGCACACUCAGGACUGCCCGGGGAGCCAUUUGCACACUCACCAUUGCACGGGGAGCUCCCCUUUGCACACUCACAAUCGCACAAGGACCCAUUUGCACACUCAGGACUGCCCGGGGAACCAUUUGCACACUCACCAUUGCACAGGGAGCUCCCUUUGCACACUCACAAUUGCACAGGGACCCAUUUGCACACUCAUCAUUGCACGGGGAGCCACCAUUUGCACACUUAGAAUUGCACGGGGAGCUGUUUGCACACCCAUCAUUGACGAGGGUGGGCCUCGCUCACUCACAAUCGCACGGGGACCCAUUUGCACACUCACAACUGCACAAGACCCCCCUUGCACACUCACCAUUGCACGAGGACCCCCCCCUUGCAGCCCCGCCCCCCUUGCACGCGCGCCCCUCCCCCGCCCCCAGGGCCGGAAUGUCGCUGCGAUGCCGAUAAGGUGCCGAAGGGGGGGGAGGGGUCGGGGGUCGGGAUUUUGGGGGGGGGCCCGGGAUAGUGGGGGGGGCCCCGACUCUGGGGGGGGGGGGGGGGAGGGGCCCCGUGGGGGGGGGAAGGGGCCCCCGGGGGGGGGGGAGGGGCGGGCCCCGAAUAUUGGGGAAGGGGCUUUGGAGUGGGAGAGGGGCUGAUUUUGGGGGGCUGCCCGGGGGGGGGGUCCGGGGGGGGGGGGGGGGGGGGGGCCAGACCCCUCCUCUCCCCCCCCAAUUUGGGGUGACCAGAAGCCCCUCCCACCUCCCAGUACCCCCAGUCCCCCCCCCAGCCUCAUACUGGUCCCUGUGGCCACUCCCAAAUUCCACGGGGGUCCCCAUUUCCUACGGGAACCCCCCCACAAGAUUUUGGGGACCCCGCCUCAACUUCCACGGGGUCCAUAAACCUCUGUUGGACCCCCCCCCCCCCAAAAUUUAUGGGGAUCCUCAACGCCUUACGGGGACCCCCGAACUCUUAUGGGGACCCCAAAUUUUAUAGGACCCCCCCAGAUUUUAAGGGGUCCACAAACCUCUACAGGACCCCCCCAAAUUUAUGGGAGCCCACUCUUUUAUGGGCCCCCCAAAUUUUAAGGGGUCCCUCAACUUCUGUGGGGCCC
ensembl:lncRNA